rnacentral:lncRNA from 1 species
GGGAUUAUCAAGAGGUGUCAUAAACAUGAUGAUCAAUGAGGAGGUAGUGGAGGUGUCGGAGUUACUACAUUUAAAGUAGGAAUUACACCAAAGAAUAAUGGAGGAAUUACACCAAGGAGUUAUGGACAUCCACUUCCAAUUUUGAGCCUUGUACUAGUUGACUAAACAGAUUAAACUUUUAAUUAAGCUCAACGUGUGACUUUGCUCCUUUAAGCUGAUGGAUGUUAAAUAGUUAACAGAAUCUAAAAAACGAAUAGAAGAAGAAGACAUAAU